GACGAACGCUGGCGGCGGGCCUAACACAUGCAAGUCGAACGCACUCGACCUUCGGGUCAUAUGAGUGAGUGGCGAACGGGUGAGUAACACGUGAGAAACCUGCCCCGAAGACUGGAAUAACCCGAGGAAACUCGGGCUAAUACCGGAUGCCCCCAACUGAUCGCAUGAUCAGUUGAGGAAAUGCUCCGGCGCUUCGGGAGGGUCUCGCGGCCUAUCAGCUAGUUGGUGAGGUAACGGCUCACCAAGGCAACGACGGGUAGCUGGUCUGAGAGGACGAUCAGCCACACUGGGACUGAGACACGGCCCAGACUCCUACGGGAGGCAGCAGUGGGGAAUCUUGCGCAAUGGACGAAAGUCUGACGCAGCCACGCCGCGUGAGGGAUGAAGGCUUUCGGGUCGUAAACCUCUUUCAGCAGGGAAGAAAAUGACGGUACCUGCAGAAGAAGCUCCGGCCAACUACGUGCCAGCAGCCGCGGUAACACGUAGGGAGCAAGCGUUGUCCGGAUUUAUUGGGCGUAAAGAGCUCGUAGGCUGUUCAGUAAGUCAGGUGUGAAAACUCGAGGCUCAACCUCGAGACGCCACUUGAUACUGCUGUGACUAGAGUCCGGUAGAGGAGUGUGGAAUUCCUGGUGUAGCGGUGAAAUGCGCGGAUAUCAGGAGGAACACCAGCAGCGAAGGCGGCACUCUGGGCCGGUACUGACGCUGAGGAGCGAAAGCAUGGGGAGCGAACAGGAUUAGAUACCCUGGUAGUCCAUGCCGUAAACGUUGGGCACUAGAUGUGGGAUCUCGCUAACAGAUUCCGUGUCGCAGCUAACGCAUUAAGUGCCCCGCCUGGGGAGUACGGCCGCAAGGCUAAAACUCAAAGGAAUUGACGG
rnacentral:rRNA from 1 species